rnacentral:rRNA from 1 species
UGCCUUAGUAACGGCGAGUGAAGCGGCAAUAGCUCAAAUUUGAAAGCUGGCCCCUUCGGGGUCCGCGUUGUAAUUUGUAGAGGAUGAUUCGGCGAGGGCUCCCGUCUAAGUCCCCUGGAACGGGGCGUCAUAGAGGGUGAGAAUCCCGUAUGUGAUGGGUUGCCUUAGCCAUGUGAAUCUCCUUCGACGAGUCGAGUUGUUUGGGAAUGCAGCUCUAAAUGGGAGGUAAAUUUCUUCUAAAGCUAAAUACCGGCCAGAGACCGAUAGCGCACAAGUAGAGUGAUCGAAAGAUGAAAAGCACUUUGGAAAGAGAGUUAAAAAGUACGUGAAAUUGUUGAAAGGGAAGCGCUUGCAGCCAGACUUGUCCGCAGUUGCUCAGCCGGUCUCCUGACCGGCGUACUCUUCUGCGGCCAGGCCAGCAUCAGUUCGGGCGGUCGGAUAAAGACCUCGGGAAUGUAGCUCCUCUCGGGGAGUGUUAUAGCCCGGGGUGGAAUGCGGCCAGCCUGGACUGAGGAUCUCGCUUCGGCUAGGAUGCUGGCGUAAUGGCUGUAAGCGGCCCGUCUUGAAACACGGACCAAGGAGUCUAACAUCUAUGCGAGUGUUUGGGUGUCAAACCCAUACGCGUAAUGAAAGUGAACGGAGGUGGGAACCCUCACGGGUGCACCAUCGACCGAUCCUGAUGUCUUCGGAUGGAUUUGAGUAAGAGCAUAGCUGUUGGGACCCGAAAGAUGGUGAACUAUGCCUGAAUAGGGUGAAGCCAGAGGAAACUCUGGUGGAGGCUCGCAGCGGUUCUGACGUGCAAAUCGAUCGUCAAAUUUGGGUAUAGGGGCGAAAGACUAAUCGAACCAUCUAG